rnacentral:rRNA from 1 species
CGUAGGGGGCAAGCGUUGUCCGGAAUUACUGGGCGUAAAGGGCGUGUAGGUGGGUAAUUAAGUCAUGGGUGAAAACUGCGAGCUCAACUUGCAGACUGCCUAUGAAACUGGUCAUCUUGAGGGCAGGAGAGGAAAGUGGAAUUCCUAGUGUAGCGGUGAAAUGCGUAGAUAUUAGGAGGAACACCAGUGGCGAAGGCGACUUUCUGGACUGUCCCUGACACUGAGGCGCGAAAGCUAGGGGAGCGAACGGGAUUAGAUACCCCGGUAGUCCUAGCCGUAAACGAUGGGUACUAGGUGUGGGAGGUAUCGACCCCUUCCGUGCCGGAGUUAACACAUUAAGUACCCCGCCUGGGGAGUACGGCCGCAAGGUUG